GUAGACAAGGCUGGACAUGAACUCACAGGGAUCCACCUGCCUCUGCCUGCUGCUGAGUGCUGGGAUUAAAGGUGAUUCCUCAGACCCUGUUCAACUGUCCUGUGGGCCUGGACAAGAAAGCUGCUCAUCAUUGGAGGGUAGGCCUACCUGCUCAUCUUGAGAAGCACCAGAGAUCGACUUCUGUUUGCUGAAGACGACACGGAUUAACCCAUUGUGAGACAGUCCAGGAUGAAUAGAAAAUGAAGCAGCGCAGAUCAUAGGAGAAAUAUGGUGGUUCCUCAGACCCUGUUUGACUGUCCCGCAUGUCGGGACACCUGGCAUUGAGGUCAGCUCUGCAAUACUGAGCAGGGUGGAAAGCACCAGGAAGGGCAAAUGGUGCAACAACCUGAGCACCUACUAUGUUCCCUGACACACCAACCCAUAAGUGUCUAACAGGAUUUCUGUGCAAGGCCAUGGUUCCUGCCAUAGCAAGAACUGGCUCUAAGCAUCCUGGUUCUAAGGAUGCUGGUUUCCAACUGACUGCCGAGAAGCCAGUCCAGCUGGGUGAUCCACUCCACACAGGGUUCUUGGAAGAUGAGGAGAAGGUGAAAGGCAGAGAACAGAAGCUGUAAGUUCCACACUGGUCAAGAAGUGCACUCUUCAUUGUUCCUGCUCCAUGCCUUUACUCCACUCUAUUGAUUCUAAUCCUUUUAAACCAUAAGCUCAAUUAUCUCUAAUUUUCCAUUUUAAGGUUAAUCUAGACAGGGUUUCUCUGUGUACAUAUAUGUACAUAACCCUGACUGUCCUUGAACUCACUCUGUUAACCAGGCUGGCUUGUGCUCAGUUCUGGCUGACUCUGUCUCCCAAGAGGUGGGAUUAAAGGUGUGCUCUGCCACCAUUGAGCCAUCUCACCAGUCCCAGGUCCAUAUGAUUUUUUUUAAAGAUUUAUUUUUUAUUAUACAUAAGUACACUGUAGCUGUCUUCAGACACACCAGAAGAGAGCAUUGGAUCUCAUUACAGAUGGUUGUGAGCCACCAUGUGGUUGCUGGGAUUUGAACUCGGGACCUCCGGAAGAACAGUCAUUGCUCUUAACCGCUGAGCCAUCUCUGACUAUUAACAAUUAUUUUCUUUGCUUCUUUUCUUUUUUAAAAAAGAUUUUUAUGUGUGUUGCUGUUCUGCCUAUAUGUAUAUCUGUGUGAAGGGUAACAUAUCCUCUGGAAUGGAUUACAGACAGUUGUUAGCUAUGGUCUUUAUGCCAGAAAUUGAAUCCAGGCACUCUGGAAGAACAGCAAGUGGUCUUCACUACCAAGUCAUCUCCCCAGGCCAUAUGCUCUGGGUUUAAAAAGUGGUUUGGGAGAAAAAAAGAGGUCAAGAAAUCCUUAGAGAACAGUGAGGAGAGGUAUAUGUGAAGGUUUAAAGGAUGAAGGGAGAAAGCAGAAGUGUUUUUUUAAUAAGAUAUUUUCUUUAUUUACAUUUCAAAUGUUAUCUCCUUUCCUAGUUUCUUAUUUAAAAACCUUGUAUACCUUUCCCCAACCACUGCUCUCCAACCCACCCACUCCCAUUUCUGGACCCUGUCAUUCCUCUAUACUGGGUCAUAGAAACUUCACAGGACCAAGCGCCUCUCCUCUCAUUGAGGACCGACUAGCCCAUCCUCUGGUAUAUAUGCAGCUAGAGCCAUGAGUCCCACCAUGUGAUUUCUUGAAUUGAUGUUUAGUCCCAGAAAGCUCUAGGGGUACUGGUUAGUUCAUAUUGUUGUUCCUUCUAUGGGGCUGCAAACCCCUUCAACUCCUUGGGUCCUUUCUCUAGCUCCUUCAUUGGGGACCCUGUGCUAUGCCCAAUUCAUGGCUGUGAGCAUUCACUUCUGUAUUUGUCAGACUGGCAGAGCCUCUUAGCAGACAGCUAUAUAAGGCUCCUGUCAGCAAGCUCUUGUUGGCAUCCACAAUAAUGUCUGGGUUUGGUGGUUGUAUAUGGGAUAGAUCUCCAGGUGGGGCAGCCUCUGUAUGGUCAUUCCUUCAGUCUCUGCUCCCUCUUCUAAGAAGGAUCGAAGUAUCUACACUUUGGCCUUCCUUCUUUUUGAGUUUAUGUGUUUUGCAAAUUGUAUCUUGGGUAUUGAAAAAGGGAAAUUUAUAGUCUCCAAAAAGGCCUUUUUAAAAAAAAAAAAUUGGCAUAUGACUUUUGCAGUGAAAAGCUGCCCACAUGGCCUGAUCAUCUGAUUCAAUUGUAUAGCAAUGAAAUGACAGAUGUCACAGCCAAAUGGCUUGUACAUCUAACCAUGGUGUUUGUUUCAGAGAUAGGUUUUCAUGAUGUAGACAUGGUUGGCCUGAAAUUAGCUCUGUAGACCACGCUGCCCUCAGAACUCAGAUCUUCCACCCGCCUGUGCCUCCCCAGUGUCAGGAUGAAAGGUGUGCACCAUCACAUUUGGCCUCUUUACUGCAUAACAACACUGAAAUCACCAGCCUGGGCUUGCAAAUAGGCCUUUAUUAUCUUUGAGGAAGAGGAUACACAACCCAUUCAGUUUUCAAGAGCAGAUGUUCAAGGCAUAUGAAGUCAGAGAGCUGAGGCUGAGCUCAUCUGUAAUCAACUGAAUUAUGCUCACAUCAUCACAUGCUGCUUUAUAAAUGAAGCUGCCAACAGG
rnacentral:lncRNA from 1 species